GAUGAACGCUGGCGGCGUGCCUAAUACAUGCAAGUCGAGCGAACAGACGAGGAGCUUGCUCCUCUGACGUUAGCGGCGGACGGGUGAGUAACACGUGGAUAACCUACCUAUAAGACUGGGAUAACUUCGGGAAGCCGGAGCUAAUACCGGAUAAUAUAUUGAACCGCAUGGUUCAAUAGUGAAAGACGGUUUUGCUGUCACUUAUAGAUGGAUCCGCGCCGCAUUAGCUAGUUGGUAAGGUAACGGCUUACCAAGGCAACGAUGCGUAGCCGACCUGAGAGGGUGAUCGGCCAUACUGGAACUGAGACACGGUCCAGACUCCUACGGGAGGCAGCAGUAGGGAAUCUUCCGCAAUGGGCGAAAGCUUGACGGAGCAACGCCGCGUGAGUGAUGAAGGUCUUCGGAUCGUAAAACUCUGUUAUUAGGGAAGAACAAAUGUGUAAGUAACUAUGCACGUCUUGACGGUACCUAAUCAGAAAGCCACGGCUAACUACGUG
rnacentral:rRNA from 1 species